GGCUCCAUCGUCUAUCGGUUAGGACACGACCCUUUCAAGGUUGAGAGACGGGUUCGAUUCCCGUUGGAGCUA
rnacentral:tRNA from 5 species